AUUAAAUAUCCACUUAAAAUAUUAACAACUUUUUCUAUGCUAUUUUCAUUUGCCAUUUUCUUAUAUAUAUAUAUUUGGUUGGUUGGUUGGUUUUGCUUUUUCUUUGUUUUUUUGUUUUUCGUUUUUUUUUUUUUUGUUUGUUUGUUUUUUGUUUUUCCAGACAGGCCAGGGCUACAGAGAAACCCUGACUCAAAAGAAGAUUCUUGCUGUCAAACUUGA
rnacentral:lncRNA from 1 species